UCUGGCUAUAGAUUCCUGCUGCUGAGAUGAAUUGCCAACUUCUCUGAGACUGCUUCUGAGCUACAGUGGGAUUAACUCUCUGAGCUGUGCACUUCAGAAUAUGUACUGAUCCAGCAGCCUACCAAUGUGUAUUUCCAGGGGACUAAAAACAAGGAGGCUGGAGCUGCAAGUCAUCCCCAAAUGAGAUGGAGGAUUCCCCAAAACUAAUGGUGCGUUGAGGCUGUCCUUCCCCUUUGAGGUAAUGACACCACAGGAAGAAGUCAGUCAGCGAAUACCCGGAGUCUCGACUGUCACAGAUUUUACUGACACUGCUGAGCUGUGAAGAACUCUGAACCUGAGGAAUGGAAUUACCUCGCUGAGUUGUGGACGAUGCAAUGAAACAUAAGGGAUGCUGAGGACAGAAGGGUGUGACAUUUCACAGGAAGACGUCUGUGCCCACAGAUCCCUGGCAUGGUGAGGGAAAGUGUCAUGCUGUAUCAGUGAUCGGCGCUCCUGGAAUAUGCAGACAGGGAGCCUAUGUCCCAUGUCGACUGAAAUUAAAUCAGAAAAAAACUCCAAAAGCAAGAAAGGUUGAUGUUUUAGAAAACAGAACAAUGUUAAAAAAAAUGUGGCCCUGGUAAGAUAUAUAAAGAUGAGCUGUAAAAAGCCACACCACCAGUCUACUGGGUAUAUUCUUGAAAUUAACAAGGUAUUAUAACUUCAUUUUGGCAUUUGCUACAGUAAAAGGUGUAAAAGAUGAGGUGUAAAUGUCAACACGUUUUUUGCACGCUUACAGUACAGACAAUUUGGGAAAUAUACUUUGAUUGAUACCACUCUUAUAUUUGUAGGAUGAAAGUGAAGCUACAGCCAGAAGGCGCUUAGUUUAGCAUAAAGACGAAAUGGGAAACAGCUACCCCAUAUAAUUGUACUUUGUGUGCAGUUAUUAACCAGCUUCAUGCCCUCAUCCUCCUCCAGCAUCUCUUAGACAUAAAUAUAAAAAACAGGCUAAAAUAACAUUUAAAUUCAAGUUUAAUACUUUUUCUAUUGAUUUUUCCAUAUUGCUGUUGAUCUCUAAAAGCUUCCUCUGUCUCCUAUAAGUGGGAAGAGCACAUGCAAUUGUUUAAAAAAGCCUGUCAUGAUUAUAUUAAUUUCUUUCUUUCACCAAUCCUUUAAAAAUGUAUAUUGUCAGUGAGAUAUUUUAGGCAGGUGUCCCAUUUGUCAGCAACGCUGAUACAAGUCAUUGAGAUUGAAAAACAAUUUCCUGGGAAGUCAUAUUCAAGCCAAUUCUAGUCAUGAAAGUGAAGCUGCUAUUUUUCACAUACUGUUCAUAGCUCCAUUUUGCAACUAAAUUAAAAUCUGCCAAGGGAAACCUGCUUGACACUGAGUGGUUUUAACAAGGUGAAAGCUUUGUGUGUUCUCUUACUGCCGCUAAACAGUCACUGCCACAAGGGGGAAAUUAAUGGCCUUUGGAAGAGGACCUGCUAUAGAGGGAGUGCUUAAUUUACCGAGCCACCUGAGUUUCAGGUUGAAUGAAAGCAGGCUCUAUCCCUGGUGACUCACUUCCUCAGUGACUGUGUGUGUGCGUGCGUGUGUGAGCGAGCGAUGCAAAGACACACCAACAGUGACAGUGAAAGUUAGAAAGAAUCAUGCGUGUACAUGUUUGUCCUUAUGUGUCUUUAAUGCAACUGUGUAUUUGUGUGUGCUUAUGUCCAUUGUGUGUCCAGCUGGAACCUUUGAGCUGGACAUCAAACGUAAUGCUCCCACAGACGUCACAUUUGAGCUGCCAAUUCCCAAU